CUCGGUACAAAAUAAAAACUGGACAUCCGGCUGCUGUAAGUGGACACUCUUGCACUUUGGUGUUCAGGUGUUUGACAUUUUAAUAUCCAGGUUCUAUGUCUCAGACGUGCGGCAGGUUUCGGGUUUCGGCGUUGGAAGCUGAACUCACAGCACUGAACGGCCGUCACGCGUUGUUGCUGUAAAUGGACGAAGACAAAAGGUUCUGGAUGGUUGGUUUUCUCUGGUUUUCUGGAUGAUGUGCAAGAACGAUACUUUAACUUCACAUUAACUUUGGUCAUUUGGCUGAACUUUCGCUGCAGCUUCCAACCGCCGGAUCAGAACCGAACUUCAUGCCGCCGCUCCGGCAGCAGCAGCGUUUCUGCCACAGCAGGAGGACUUUGUUCUGUGGUGAAUCCGGACUGGAAGCUGCUGCAGUAAACAAGCAUGUGUUGGUCCAACAGCUCAGAUUUCAUCUCCUGAACAUGAAACAACUCAUCAGCACGGAGCUAUUUUCAGGCUCUUAUCUCACCGUUCUGCUUCACUUCUGCUGCUCUGCUGCCUCUUUCUCUUUAAUCCCGACAUGCAGCUUCAUGUCUGGGGAGGUUCAUGUCAGUCCAGAGCUCCACAUCAGUCAUCACUUUACACACUCCAGCUUCAUCCUCAGCUGAACAAACAGAGAUACGCUGCAUCUGAAGCUCUGCAGACACAAUCUGUGGUGUUUCUCAGAACUCUGCUGCUCCACAGACCUGUUUGUUCUCAGAAAGCUGCUGAGAUGCAGCGAAGGACGAACCCCACGCUGUGUUUUUAUCGCUCGCUGUUGCUUCACAGCCAGAAGGAGCUGAAACUCGUCCUGACAACUGAUGAGCAGAUAAGUUUCUAUUCUGAGCGGCUGUGUGGCAGCAGGAUUCCCAGCAGAGAUCGGAUCAGAUCCAGGCUCAGGUAACUGACCUUCAACCUUCCUGAGAAACAGAGCCACCACAUGAAGUCUACAUGUGACCUGCUCGGCUUCCAGAAGCUCAUCUCCAGCAGCUACAGUCUCAUCAGCUGGAGGUUGAACAGCUGAACUGAUGAAAGCAUCAGCGUGGCCUCCACCAACAGCAGAACGGAGCUAACCGGCUCCUCUGUGCUCCAUGGAGACACCGUAAAUACGACUCAAACCCUCAUAACCUGCAUGCUGGUGUGGAAACAUCCAGAUUCUCGGCAGUGAUGAAGCUUCACGCUGCUGCAGCUCACUGAGGCCGACGGUUUCUUAUCUGACAGUCAUCCUUAGAGUAAACCUGUACGUCCUCCUGACAGGACACACACAGAGAGACAUGUCCACAGGUGACGCUCUGCUGGAUGUAAAUCAGAAGUUUGGUUUGACGAAGGCUCCUUCUGGAGCUGCAGCGAGUGAAUACUUGUCUACUGUUGAUUAAUCUUUCGCUUGUUUUCUGCAUUAAUUGAUCAGCUGUUUGGUUUACAAUAUCAGAAAAUGGUGAAAAAUGUGGACCAGUUUCCUUCGAUGUCUUGUUUAGUCCACAGAUGAUCAGUUCACCGACACAGAGGACAGAAACCAGAAAACAUUCACAGUGAAGCUGAGCUCAGAGUUCAGGUUUUGUUAAACUGAACCACUGGAGCUGGUUUCUGGACGGCGCUGCUGCUGCUUGCUAUUAGUCCGUCAUUAGUGUGUCAAACACUUUGCUGGCUUUCACGUUUUUUCUCUCACACAUGUUCCUUUGAGGAAUAAACGCUUUCUGCACAAAAA